UACAGAGGGGGCAAGCGUUGUUCGGAAUUACUGGGCGUAAAGGGCGCGUAGGCGGCCUGCUAAGUCGAUCGUGAAAUCCCCGGGCUUAACCCGGGAACUGCGACCGAUACUGGUUGGCUUGAAUUCGGGAGAGGGAUGCGGAAUUCCAGGUGUAGCGGUGAAAUGCGUAGAUAUCUGGAGGAACACCGGUGGCGAAGGCGGCAUCCUGGACCGGCAUUGACGCUGAGGCGCGAAAGCCAGGGGAGCAAACAGG
rnacentral:rRNA from 1 species